rnacentral:rRNA from 1 species
UACGGAGGGUGUAAGCGUUAUCCGGAUUCACUGGGUUUAAAGGGUGCGUAGGCGGAUUGGUAAGUCCGUGGUGAAAUCUCUAAGCUUAACUUGGAAACUGCCAUGGAUACUAUUAGUCUUGAAUAUUGUGGAGGUUAGCGGAAUAUGUCAUGUAGCGGUGAAAUGCAUAGAUAUGACAUAGAACACCAAUUGCGAAGGCAGCUGGCUACACAAAUAUUGACGCUGAUGCACGAAAGCGUGGGGAUCAAACAGG